rnacentral:lncRNA from 1 species
CACAGACACACUUUAAUCUUUCUCUCUAACAAACUAGUAACCACCACCACCCACCACCCACCACCAACAACCACCAGAGAUCUGAAGCCAGUCACCAACAACGCACCACCAGAUCUGAAUCUUGUCCCAUUUUUAACCACCACCGCUGUCAUCACCUCCUGCCACCACCACUAGCUGCCGCCACCCCCUGCUACCGCCACCUCCUGCCACCGCCACCUUCUGCUACAACCAUCAAGCACCCCACACUCCCUCUCUACAUCAGACGCCCACGCUACCAAUAUUGCAGUACACUCCUCGCCGCCGCAUCUGGAAAACGGUUGGUUGUUUCCCCCAAAGAAACUGGUGGCAAACGUGUGGGGGUUUGGACAACAGUUCAGAUGUUGGUGAGAGAGGUGCGGUGGUGGUGAUAUGAGCGUGGAUUCACCGUCGCAGAUCUGAUAUGUUGUAGUGUUUGGAUUCACCAUCGCAGAUCUAUUGGACUCACAGAUUCACCAUCGAAGAUCUGAUCAGUGUGAGAGAAGGAAUGGUGGGGGAGAAAAGACAGGUUUCACAUCGAGGGGACAUUUAAUUUAGAGAAAGAUGGUUGUCAUGAUGGUUAGCGGCAGAUGGCGGUGGUAAUAACCGGUGGUGGUGGUUGUUUUAAUUUAGAGAGAGGGUUUAAAGAGGAGGAAAUGAGCUUGUGUAUAUGUAAUUUUUUUUUGUUAUAUUUACGAAGAAAUAUUUUAAUUAAGAAAAUGUUUUAAUGAAAUGUACAUGGACAAAACUGCCUCUGCACAAAAAGACAAAAAAAACAUGUUGGAACAGUAAAA